rnacentral:rRNA from 1 species
CGCUUACGAGUACGAGAAUUGAAAGACAUGAAAAUUCUCAAUUCUCUACGGCGUCUAGUAGAUAGAAACAAGAAAAUCAGAAGAAUCUUUCUCUCUAUUCACUAUCAUUCCGCGUCUUCGACUUCUAUUAGUUUCUUAUCUUCUUUAAUGCAAUAG